rnacentral:rRNA from 1 species
GGAUGCUGACGAGUGGCGAACGGGUGAGUAAUACAUCGGAACGUGCCCGAUCGUGGGGGAUAACGAAGCGAAAGCUUUGCUAAUACCGCAUACGAUCUACGGAUGAAAGCAGGGGACCGCAAGGCCUUGCGCGAACGGAGCGGCCGAUGGCAGAUUAGGUAGUUGGUGGGAUAAAAGCUUACCAAGCCGACGAUCUGUAGCUGGUCUGAGAGGACGACCAGCCACACUGGGACUGAGACACGGCCCAGACUCCUACGGGAGGCAGCAGUGGGGAAUAUUGGACAAUGGGCGAAAGCCUGAUCCAGCAAUGCCGCGUGAGUGAUGAAGGCCUUAGGGUUGUAAAGCUCUUUUACCAGGGAUGAUAAUGACAGUACCUGGAGAAUAAGCUCCGGCUAACUCCGUGCCAGCAGCCGCGGUAAUACGGAGGGAGCUAGCGUUGUUCGGAAUUACUGGGCGUAAAGCGCACGUAGGCGGCUUUUCAAGUCAGGGGUGAAAUCCCGGGGCUCAACCCCGGAACUGCCCUUGAAACUGGAUGGCUAGAAUACUGGAGAGGUGAGUGGAAUUCCGAGUGUAGAGGUGAAAUUCGUAGAUAUUCGGAGGAACACCAGUGGCGAAGGCGGCUCACUGGCUCGAUACUGACGCUGAGGUACGAAAGUGUGGGGAGCAAACAGGAUUAGAUACCCUGGUAGUCCACACCGUAAACGAUGAAUGCCAGUCGUCGGGCAGUAUACUGUUCGGUGACACACCUAACGGAUUAAGCAUUCCGCCUGGGGAGUACGGUCGCAAGAUUAAAACUCAAAGGAAUUGACGG